rnacentral:rRNA from 1 species
UGGGGAAUAUUGCACAAUGGGCGAAAGCCUGAUGCAGCAACGCCGCGUGAGUGAUGAAGGGCCUUCGGGUUGUAAAGCUCUGUCUUUUUGGGGACGAUAAUGACGGUACCAAAGGAGGAAGCCACGGCUAACUACGUGCCAGCAGCCGCGGUAAUACGUAGGUGGCAAGCGUUGUCCGGAUUUACUGGGCGUUAAAGGAUGCGUAGGCGGAUUUUUAAGUGAGAUGUGAAAACCCUAAGCUUAACUUGGGGACUGCAUUUCAUACUGGAAAUCUAGAGUGCGGGAGAGGAGAAUGGAAUUCCUAGUGUAGCGGUGAAAUGCGUAGAGAUUAGGAAGAACACCAGUGGCGAAGGCGAUUCUCUGGACCGUAACUGACGCUGAGGCAUGAAAGCGUGGGUAGCAAACAGGAUUAGAUACCCUGGUAGUCCACGCCGUAAACGAUGAGUACUAGGUGUAGGAGGUAUCGACCCCUUCUGUGCCGCAGUUAACACAAUAAGUACUCCGGCCUGGGAAGUACGAUCGCAAGAUUAAAAACUCAAAAUGAAUUGACGGGGGUCAUAGCUGUUUUU